CCUACGGGAGGCAGCAGUGGGGAAUCUUGCGCAAUGGGCGAAAGCCUGACGCAGCCAUGCCGCGUGAAUGAUGAAGGUCUUAGGAUUGUAAAAUUCUUUCACCGGGGACGAUAAUGACGGUACCCGGAGAAGAAGCCCCGGCUAACUUCGUGCCAGCAGCCGCGGUAAUACGAAGGGGGCUAGCGUUGCUCGGAAUUACUGGGCGUAAAGGGAGCGUAGGCGGAUAGUUUAGUCAGAGGUGAAAGCCCAGGGCUCAACCUUGGAAUUGCCUUUGAUACUGGCUAUCUUGAGUUUGGGAGAGGUGAGUGGAACUCCGAGUGUAGAGGUGAAAUUCGUAGAUAUUCGGAAGAACACCAGUGGCGAAGGCGACUCACUGGCCCAAUACUGACGCUGAGGCUCGAAAGCGUGGGGAGCAAACAGGAUUAGAUACCCUGGUAGUCCACGCCGUAAACGAUGAGUGCUAGUUGUCGGCAUGCACGCAUGUCGGUGACGCAGCUACGACAUAAGACACUCCGCCGUCGGGAGGUACGGUCGCGAGAGUUAAACUAACGAAGAAGUUAGAGNGUUGAGAGNGCGAGCGACGACGAGGAGAGG
rnacentral:rRNA from 1 species